AUUGAACGCUGGCGGCAGGCCUAACACAUGCAAGUCGAACGAGUGGCGGACGGGUGAGUAAUGUCUGGGAAACUGCCCGAUGGAGGGGGAUAACUACUGGAAACGGUAGCUAAUACCGCAUACCAUCGGAUGUGCCCAGAUGGGAUUAGCUAGUGGGUGGGGUAAGGGCUCACCAAGGCGACGAUCCCUAGCUGGUCUGAGAGGAGGACCAGCAACACUGGAACUGAGACACGGCCCAGACUCCUACGGGAGGCAGCAGUGGGGAAUAUUGCACAAUGGGAGAAAGCCUGAUGCAGCCAUGCCGCGUGUAUGAAGAAGGCCUUCGGGUUGUAAAGUACUUUCAGCUAGGAGUCGUUACUCGCAGAAUAAGCACCGGCUAACUCCGUGCCAGCAGCCGCGGUAAUUC
rnacentral:rRNA from 1 species